ACUAGACCCUGUUUUACUAUGCACCCACCCUCUGCCACUAUCGCUACCCCAGCGCCACCACUAGGCCGCCACCGUGUUGCUCCGGCCAUUCACUCAUCAUCAUCAAUCUUUCCCUUUCUUUCCCCUGUUCCAAUUCCCUGCUUCCCAGGGGGCCAAUAUUCUUGUAGAUAAUAAAGGUUGCAUUAAACUUGCAGAUUUUGGGGCCUCCAAACAAGCUAGUAUUAGAAUGGAUUACUUGAACGUGCACAAAGUGGAGCAGUUUUAGGUUGAUUCUGAUCUUUUACCAAGUAUUUAGGUUGAUGAUCAUCUCUAUUAGUGUAAUUUGAUAUACU